UUAUUAACAAACUCGUAUACAUAAAUUUCAAUCGUAGAAAAUCUGGUUGUAUCUGAAGAACUAAGUUCGUUUUAGCUAUAAUUAUUAUUAACUCUUGAUGUGUGACUGUGUAAACAAAAUAGGAAGCAGCAACAAGAGGGCCGGCCCACUGGGCUUCUGGAUUCAGCCGGAAACCAAGAAAUGCUCGGCGGGCAAUCAUGGCGGUCAACGAUGUUGAGGCCGAAGAGGAUUUGAAUUAUGAGGGCUCUGACCUUUAUUACUAAUUCAUCCUCCAAGUCUGCACUUCUUCGCCGGAACUGUGGGGAUAAAACGGACAAUUCGCGCUAUCUUCGAGAAAGUGUAGAGCAAAUAAGUGCCGCUUUAUUUUGUAGAGAAUUCCCUCCCUCUUUUUACCAAUUGCCUUUUGAUUUCCUCAUAAUUACACUUGUCUUCCACCACUCCUCUGAGUUUAGUCUUAAAUUGCAGACAUCUCAGAUCAACACAAGUUCAAAGGCGGAGGAGGUGGAGCAGAAACUGGGAAUUCUCUUCAUACAGUUUGUAAGGCUGGAACUGCUGCAAUCCUAAGAAAAAUGGAAUUCAGAAGAGAAUGAACUCGAUCAUCAUCUGAACCAUGUAAAACUGCUAUAUAAGAGGUGGAACGAAAAGGCUGGCUAUAGACUUUGGAGGAGGGCUCGUUUGCAAAGUGGUGUUUGUGAAUUAUUGCUUGGGUUGGGAAAAGGGGAAUCCUCUCCAAGCGUUUUUAGCAAGAAGCUCCUCUCCUGAAAGAUCCAACAACAGCAUAAAUGGUGUACUAGGUGAACCCUAUUCAGAAACCAAACGAUCAGAUGUUGAUGGCCAAACUCAGAACAAAGAUGUUGUUUACAUUGUAGACGUUCUGAAUCAACACAGUAAACGGAGCUCUUAGCUGCUGAUUCGUCUUUCCACAGUGCCCAUGUCGUCUGUCACCAUAGUUGCAAUUUUCUGAGAGAUUAGUGAUAUGGCUCC